CGCCCCCUAUACGUCAUCAUUGAGUAAACUUUGACCCGGAACCUCACAGUCAGCAGACACUUCCUGGGAGGGAAGGUCUGCUGCUGAUUGGGUGGAAUGUGUCUGCUGGCUGUGAGGUUCCGGGUCAAAGUUUACUCAAUGAUGACGUAUAGGGGGCG
rnacentral:miRNA from 1 species